rnacentral:rRNA from 1 species
CCCCUAGAUGUUCUGGGCCGCACGCGCGCUACACUGAACAGUUCAACAAGUCUUAACCUUGGCCGAUAGGUCUGGGUAAUCUUUGAACGCUGUUCGUGAUUGGGAUAGACCUUUGCAAUUAUGGGUCUUCAACGAGGAAUUCCUAGUAAACGCAAGUCAUCAGCUUGCAUUGAUUACGUCCCUGCCCUUUGUACACACCGCCCGUCGCACCUACCGAUUGAAUGGUCCGGUGAAGCCUCGGGAUUGUGGCGAGUUCCCUUUAUUGGGAGUUUGUCGCGAGAACUUGUCUGAACCUUAUCAUUUAGAGGAAGGUGAAGUCGUAACA